rnacentral:rRNA from 1 species
GACGUAGGGCGCGAGCGUUGUCCGGAUUUAUUGGGCGUAAAGAGCUCGUAGGCGGCUUGUUGCGUCGACUGUGAAAACCCGCGGCUUAACUGCGGGCUUGCAGUUGAUACGGGCAGGCUAGAGUUCGGUAGGGGAGACUGGAAUUCCUGGUGUAGCGGUGAAAUGCGCAGAUAUCAGGAGGAACACCGGUGGCGAAGGCGGAUCUCUGGGCCUUACCUGACGCUCAGGUGCGAAAGCUAGGGGAGCGAACAGG